rnacentral:rRNA from 1 species
GGACGAAAGUCUGACGGAGCAACGCCGCGUGAGUGAAGAAGGUUUUCGGAUCGUAAAGCUCUGUCUUCAGGGACGAAUGUGCUUAAUGUGAAUAAUGUUAAGUAAUGACGGUACCUGAGGAGGAAGCCACGGCUAACUACGUGCCAGCAGCCGCGGUAAUACGUAGGUGGCAAGCGUUGUCCGGAAUUAUUGGGCGUAAAGCGCGCGCAGGCGGGAAUGUAAGUCUGUCUUAAAAGUUCGGGGCUCAACCCCGUGAUGGGAUGGAAACUACAUUUCUUGAGUGCAGGAGAGGAAAGUGGAAUUCCUAGUGUAGCGGUGAAAUGCGUAGAUAUUAGGAGGAACACCAGUGGCGAAGGCGACUUUCUGGACUGUGUCUGACGCUGAGGCGCGAAAGCCAGGGGAGUGAACGGGAUUAGAUACCCCGGUAAUCCUGGCCGUAAACGAUGGGUACUAGGUGUAGGAGGUAUCGACCCCUUCUGUGCCGGAGUUAACGCAAUAAGUACCCCGCCUGGGGAGUA